GGAGUUAGGAAAUGUAAGUGCGCUAAUAUCGCAUUUAUUUGACGAAGGCUCCAAAGGAAACCACGGCUAACUCUGUGCCAGCAGCCGCGGUAAUACAGAGGUGGCAAGCGUUGUUCGGAAUUAUUGGGCGUAAAGAGCACGUAGGUGGGUUUGUAAGUCAGAUGUGAAAGCCUUCUGUUCAACGGAAGAAUUGCAUCUGAAACUACAAGUCUUGAGUGUAGGAGGGGAGAGUGGAAC
rnacentral:rRNA from 1 species